AACGAACGCUGGCGGCAUGCCUAAUACAUGCAAGUCGAACGAAGGCUUCGGCCUUAGUGGCGCACGGGUGCGUAACGCGUGGGAAUCUACCCUUGGGUUCGGAAUAACAGUUAGAAAUGACUGCUAAUACCGGAUGAUGACGUAAGUCCAAAGAUUUAUCGCCCAAGGAUGAGCCCGCGUAAGAUUAGCUAGUUGGUGAGGUAAAGGCUCACCAAGGCUACGAUCUUUAGCUGGUCUGAGAGGAUGAUCAGCCACACUGGGACUGAGACACGGCCCAGACUCCUACGGGAGGCAGCAGUAGGGAAUAUUGGACAAUGGGCGAAAGCCUGAUCCAGCAAUGCCGCGUGAGUGAUGAAGGCCUUAGGGUGUAAAGCUCUUUUACCCGAGAUGAUAAUGACAGUAUCGGGAGAAUAAGACUCCGGCUAACUCCGUAGCCAGCAGCCGCGGU
rnacentral:rRNA from 1 species